CGCCACGCCGCCCUCGCCCGCCGCGCUCUCCGCGGCAGCCCCUCCUCUGAGGGCUGCGGGCGCGGCGCAGAAAUUUUUUGGCCAUGUUCUCUAUCAGUCCUGCGUCCGCCGAGUUACGAAUUUGCAUUAGAUUGCACCAAAACGCGCUCUCGCAGGGAAGGGUAUUGCGUCUUGGGGACAGCAGUGUGAUGCCUGCUGCUUCCACCGUGCUCUCGUUAAGUCCUGGGCAAUGACAGACGAGUUACUGCGAGAAACCAUAGCUGGGAAGAGAGAAACUGAAACGGAGAUGGUUAUAGGGCCUACUUCUGUCUUCAGAGAGAGAGAAAAGAAAAAAAGACAGACAAAAAUCGUAGGGAUUAUAACUUGGACAGAAACAAGUCUUUGGUGUCAGCGUUUCUGAUUCGGUCUCGCAUUAUAAUGGUUACCAUCAGCCUCGUUUUCUUUUUAUGGUCAUGCUGGUUUCCUGGUUGCAUGACACUUCCAUUGGGCCACUGUUUUUAGUAAUUUAACCUUUUAUGAGAUUGUUUUGAUUUACAGUAUGGAUUGGAGUGAGAGCAAGGAAGUGUGCUAUCGCACAAUCGGCCAUUUAACUCCUCUAAUGUAUGCAAAGGUCGCCGUUGUUUAAGAUGUUAAGAGAAAGGUGGUGGUUCUUUUUUUUCCCCCCAGGCAACUAGUCAUUUUCUAAUUUUAUUUUUACUUAAGUGAAAAAUACCAUUCAGAUAUUGUAACUUCUUUGUGCUGAACUACGCAGAAUCUGUGCUGUUUUGGAUUCAAUGGCAGACUUGUUUGCUUGCUAGAGUCCUAAGACAUGUAAACUGUGUUGAAAAUAGAAUUAAAACCACAACUCAACUUGC